GAAUUGGUGAAACUGGUGGAGACACAGAGAUGAAUGGGGAUAAUAUUUCCUGUUUCGUCAGCAGCAACAGUUUUCCACGUGCUUCUGCACUCUGGCGAUUCAACUCAGCUAUUCGUUCAUCCAAACUCUUUGCUAAUCCUUCUCCAGGUUCAUGUGAUGUGCCACACUAGAGACAACAUUCACCCUGACAACACUUCCUGUUCUGUAAACAAAUCUUACUCAAGCAAGAAGUGCUGAAUAUUGUGGAACUAGCUAACCAAGGAGGAGGGAGGAGGAAACUACUUUUUGUACAUGUGUGAUCCUAUAAACGAUUUUCAGUAGCUCAGUUUGUGGUACCUUUUGGAAAGAUAUUUCUUGCUGGGCCCGCUGGCGUUACUUCUGCAAUAAAGAAACUUGUUUUCCUUGA